rnacentral:lncRNA from 1 species
AGCUGCCUAUAGGUCUGCAAGUUAAGGUUAGAGGGACCAAUGCUCUUUAUGGUAAAAUCAAAGUGUAAACCUACUUCGCAGUGGCUUGGUGUGUAUCAAGCAUAAAAGUCCAGUCGAAUUAAGCCUCCGAGCCUGAUGACUGCUCGUGCACAGUUAGUUCCAUUCCAUCUCUGGUAUGAAAUUUCCUGGAUGCCAGUAGCACACUAGCACUUCACUUCAAUUGAACACAAAGGAUUAUAGAGGAUUCUCUGUUUCCCACCCAUACAGUGGCA